GCAAAUCCUCACACAUAAGUAGCUGGAGCUGUGAUGAUCCUGUUUGGUUUUGGUUUUGCUGUAGGGUUUUUUGUAUUUGUUCUCCCCCUCCCCUUUCUGUUUUCUUUCUCCUGCAGGUAUGUGAGUGGUAGUGGGUGUGGCUGGCUUCUCCACUCAGCAGCAGGCAAGGCACUCAGUUAAUCAUCUUCUCUAUAAAAGUCUGGUCUUCACUCCACUACUCUGCCAGAUAAUUCCGUCUUGUUCGGUACUCCAGUGUGCCUCACUGUUCUCAAGUUGCUUCGCCUGAGUUUCCUGCAUCACCUUGUGGAUUAUUUUUCUGGCCAGCCAACUCCCUGCCUUCACUGCCUGCUCUUUUUGAACACUGAACAGGUUUUUUGUUACAUUGUAUAUCUGUGUCAGUCUCUGCUUUGGGGUUUUGAUUUAAACUGAAACCAUAACACGAGCAACUGAGCAUCAGAAAAAUAAUAUCUUUAUUUGUCAUUACAUAUAGAACGCAGUAAAUAAAAA